UACGGGGGGGGCAAGCGUUGUUCGGAAUUACUGGGCGUAAAGGGCUCGUAGGCGGCCCACUAAGUCCGACGUGAAAUCCCCAGGCUUAACUUGGGAACUGCGUCGGAUACUGGUGGGCUUGAAUCCGGGAGAGGGAUGCGGAAUUCCAGGUGUAGCGGUGAAAUGCGUAGAUAUCUGGAGGAACACCGGUGGCGAAGGCGGCAUCCUGGACCGGCAUUGACGCUGAGUGAGUGAAAGCCAGGGGAGCAAACGGG
rnacentral:rRNA from 1 species